GAUGAACGCUGGCGGCGUGCCUAAUACAUGCAAGUCGAGCGAACGGACGAGAAGCUUGCUUGCCUGAUGUUAGCGGCGGACGGGUGAGUAACACGUGGAUAACCUAGCUAUAUGACUGGGAGAACUUGGGGAAACCGGAGCUAAUACCGGAAAAUAUCUUGAUCUUCAUGGUUCAAAAGUGAAAGGCGGUAUGGCUGUCACUUAUAGAUGGAACCGCGCUGCAUUAUCUAGUUGGUAAGGUAACGGCUUACCAAGGCAACGAUGCAUAGCCGACCUGGGAGGGGGAUCGGCCACCCUGGAACGGGGCCCCGGUCCGGCCCCCUACGGGAGGCAGCGGUAGGGAAUCUUCCGCAAUGAGCGAAGGCCUGCCGGAGCACGGCGGCGUGAGUGAUGAAGGUCUUCGGUUCGUAAACUUCUUUGUUUGGGGAGGACCAGAUGUAUAGGUAACAGUGCACACCUUGACGGUACCUAAUCAGAAAGCCACGGCUAACUACGUG
rnacentral:rRNA from 1 species